CAGCCUUCUUCCUCCGCCCAGCCGCCACAGUGACCGUUGUCAAGUCUGCUACAGGAGGAUUUUAUUGUGGUUAACCUGCUUUUCUCCUUCGCAGAAAAAUGCAUAGAAGCAGGAGAGCUGCCACUGCACCAGAACCAGAUGUGCCUGACGAGGUGUCAGCACAGGAUGAGGCGCCUGCCCCGAGGAGGCGGGGUAGGAGGCCUAGAGCUGCUCAAGUAGAAG